GACGAACGCUGGCGGCGUGCCUAAUACAUGCCAGUUGAGCGCUGAAGGUUGGUACUUGUACCAACUGGAUGAGCAGCGAACGGGUGAGUAACGCGUGGGGAAUCUGCCUUUGAGCGGGGGACAACAUUUGGAAACGAAUGCUAAUACCGCAUAAAAACUUUAAACACAAGUUUUAAGUUUGAAAGAUGCAAUUGCAUCACUCAAAGAUGAUCCCGCGUUGUAUUAGCUAGUCGGUGAGGUAAAGGCUCACCAAGGCGAUGAUACAUAGCCGACCUGAGAGGGUGAUCGGCCACAUUGGGACUGAGACACGGCCCAAACUCCUACGGGAGGCAGCAGUAGGGAAUCUUCGGCAAUGGACGAAAGUCUGACCGAGCAACGCCGCGUGAGUGAAGAAGGUUUUCGGAUCGUAAAACUCUGUUGGUAGAGAAGAACGUUGGUGAGAGUGGAAAGCUCAUCAAGUGACGGUAACUACCCAGAAAGGGACGGCUAACUACGUG
rnacentral:rRNA from 1 species